CCUACGGGUGGCAGCAGUGAGGAAUAUUGGUCAAUGGACGAGAGUCUGAACCAGCCAAGUAGCGUGAAGGAUGACUGCCUUAUGGGUUGUAAACUUCUUUUAUAUGGGAAUAAAAUGUUCCACGUGUGGGAUUUUGUAUGUACCAUAUGAAUAAGGAUCGGCUAACUCCGUGCCAGCAGCCGCGGUAAUACGGAGGAUCCGAGCGUUAUCCGGAUUUAUUGGGUUUAAAGGGAGCGUAGGUGGAGUGUUAAGUCAGUUGUGAAAGUGUGCGGCGCAACCGUAAAAUUGCAGUUGAAACUGGCAGUCUUGAGUACAGUAGAGGUGGGCGGAAUUCGUGGUGUAGCGGUGAAAUGCUUAGAUAUCACGAAGAACUCCGAUUGCGAAGGCAGUUCACUGGACUGCAACUGACACUGAGGCUCGAAAGUGUGGGUAUCAAACAGGAUUAGAUACCCGUGUAGUC
rnacentral:rRNA from 1 species